ACCCGACAGAUUUCAUUUGAAAGCGAUUGUUUUUACGGUAUGUUCACAUACCGUAAAAAUAGUCGCUUUCAAAAGAAAUCCGUCGGGC
rnacentral:miRNA from 1 species